UCGGGAAUUUUGGGCAAUGGGCGCAAGCCUGAUCCAGCCAUGCCGCGUGAGUGAAGAAGGCCUUCGGGUUGUAAAGCUCUUUCGGCGGGGACGAAAUGGUUCGUGCCAAUACCACGGACUGAUGACGGUACCUGAAGAAGAAGCACCGGCUAACUACGUGCCAGCAGCCGCGGUAAUACGUAGGGUGCAGGCGUUAAUCGGAAUUACUGGGCGUAAAGCGUGCGCAGGCGGUUUGUUAAGACAGAUGUGAAAUCCCCGGGCUUAACCUGGGAACUGCGUUUGUAACUGGCAGACUGGAGUGUGGCAGAGGGGGGUGGAAUUCCAAGUGUAGCAGUGAAAUGCGUAGAUAUUUGGAGGAACACCGAUGGCGAAGGCAGCCCCCUGGGCUAACACUGACGCUCAUGCACGAAAGCGUGGGGAGCGAAACAGGAUUAGAUACCCAGGUAGUCCCUGAGCGGGCUGGCAAGGCGCAU
rnacentral:rRNA from 1 species